CAAGGUUUCCGUAGGUGAAACCUGCGGAAGGAUCAUUG
rnacentral:rRNA from 1 species